UGAAAAAGGGAGGGGAGCGGAAGAUAACAGAAGAAGAACAACAAAGACAAAGGCGACUUCAAACAACUCAGAUAUUCGAAAGGCUUAAGAACCUCAAGGACCCGGCAAAAGGACCUUGAGUUUUCAACCUGCUUGUCAACCAACAUCAAACAAGAUGGAGAAGGAUACCUCACUUAGUCUACACUCAGGAGGGCUCUACCUUUGCCAUGUCGGAGAGAAGCGGCAUCUCUGAAAUAAUUUAAGUAGCCCUUUUUUGAAAGCCCAGACAAGUUAAGAGAAUUCACAUCCAAGAUCAAAGCUGUGCUGUUGCAGUGCCA